rnacentral:rRNA from 1 species
AUUGAACGCUGGCGGCAGGCCUAACACAUGCCAGUCGAACGGUAACAGGAAGACGCUUGCUUCUUUGCUGACGAGUGGCGGACGGGUGAGUAAUGUCUGGGAAACUGCCUGAUGGAGGGGGAUAACUACUGGAAACGGUAGCUAAUACCGCAUAACGUCGCAAGACCAAAGAGGGGGACCUUCGUGCCUCUUGCCAUCGGAUGUGCCCAGAUGGGAUUAGCUAGUAGGUGGGGUAACGGCUCACCUAGGCGACGAUCCCUAGCUGGUCUGAGAGGAUGACCAGCCAAGCUGGAACUGAGACACGGUCCAGACUCCUACGGGAGGCAGCAGUGGGGAAUAUUGCACAAUGGGCGCAAGCCUGAUGCAGCCAUGCCGCGUGUAUGAAGAAGGCCUUCGGGUUGUAAAGUACUUUCAGCGGGGAGGAAGGGAGUAAAGUUAAUACCUUUGCUCAUUGACGUUACCCGCAGAAGAAGCACCGGCUAACUCCGUG